CCGCGCGAGAGCGACCUAACCUGCGUCCCCCCGAGCCCCCCUUGCCGCCGCCACCCCUCCCCUCUGCCCCGUGCCGGAUCCGCCUGCCGCCGCCGCCACGCUCUCCUCUGCCCCGAUCCCCCUCACCUGCUUCCUCCCCACCUCGCCCCGUGAGCCCCGAUCCCCUCCUUCCCUGCUCUCCACUAUGCCGCCGCCUCCUCUCCUUCAUUUUUCUCUCCGGCGGCGGCGCCAAAGAAGGUGCACACGGGUGGUGGAUCCGUGCCUGAGAAGAGCGGCGGGGACUGCACUCCGGUCGCGGUGGGGGUGCAGCCGCGGGGAAGACGAACUAGGUCCGCUGCCCGUCUUCGCCUCCGGGCCGCGUCCUUGCUGCCUCCAUAGCCAAGCGCACAUUUUUUUCAUGUCCCUCCAUGGCGCUCGUUGCUGGCGGGAUCUCGAGGAACAAGUGGCCUCCAUGGCGCUCGCUGCCGCUCUGAAUGGAUAGGGUUGACGCAGCACACACGGUCUAGGAAGGCCACGGGAUGACUGUGAGAUGCAGUGAGGGCAACAGCGACAACGGAGGUAUCUAUCCUCGUCGAGCUUCCACCCCGGUGGCUGCGUGCAGAGGAGCAGAAUUCGAGGACAUCUUCCAGUUCGUGGGGGAGACUCAAACACAGAUAGGGUUUGGGUGGAGGUUGAUUCCCCUCCCACAGAGCGUACAAAGUUGCGUUGCUUUGCACAGAUCUUUCUUUGAUAGUUCCAAGGUGCCCCUCUCUAAGCAAGCUGCAACCAUCUUCCCCCAUAAUUUCUUGUAUUUUCUUUUUAAAAGUUUACACACUACGCUAUAGGUUGGUUGGAUCAAUUGUAUGAGGCGGAACAUGAAUAAGAACAAUUAAAAACUUUUUAAUGUGCAGGUUUAUGACUGCAUUACAAAUCUUGGUGACUGCCUGUACAUGCCAUUUCAGUAGUUUGAUUAUGAAUUACCUGCAAUUAGUCAAGUGAUUAGUUAUUACCUGUAGUAUCUGAACCUUUGUUCGAUUUAGUCAUUGACCAUCCAUUUUUUCUAAAUGUAUUGGUAUUUUUGAUAUGCCAUUUGUCUCAACACACUAAUGUCAAAUCUGGUACUCCCUCCGUCCGGAAAUACUUGUCAUCAAAAUGGAUAAAAGGGGAUGUAUCUAGAACUAAAAUAUGUCUAGAUACAUCCCCUUUUAUCCAUUUUGAUGACAAGUAUUUCCGGACGGAGGGAGUAGUUGUUCGUCUACCAGGGAAGAGGCUCUAUGUUAAGGUGUCUAUGUUACCAAUGGAUAAUGAGUAAAAACUUCAUUUAUGAAUGUUAUAUGGAAAAACGUCUUCCUUUGUGCUGCUUCUGUGUCUAAGAAAUUCACAGGGAAGAGGCUCUAUGAUAGAGGGUUUUACUUCUCUUUUUUGUUUUUUUGUAGCUUGAUGCGAUGAAUUUCUCCUGCAGGUAUGCCGUCAUUCCUUCAUUCACCAUACGCAAAUCUUGGUCUUCAAUUUAUUUUAUUUCCUACGAGUGACCUGACAUUAAUGUGAUGCUAUGUCAGCCUAGAGUGUAGAGUGAGUCAAGUAUGUAGUAGAUGCACUAAUUUGGCUCAUUGCCUUGCUUCACUGCUGUGUAGAUGCAAAACUUUGUUUUCUUGUGCUGAAUGUUUGUGGCUAUUUUCCAUCUUUGCUCAUUCUGAUCUAACCAAAUAGACCCCAUGGAUUUGAGGUUGUCAUGCAUGCCAUGUUUGGAUAUGCCCUUAUUUGUAUCAAAAUAUAUGGAUGAUUGCUUUUAUCAUUUCCAUCUAUAUUUUUCACUUGACUAGCCAUUAGCGUUGUGGUUUGCUAUCGAAUGAACUGUUUUUUUUAUUUGCAUUGUUUGUCAUCCUCCUGCUUAUUAUUGUUCGUUUCAGUUUGUAGGGCUUGUACACUCCACCGUCUAAAAUAAAUCUAGCCAAAAGGUGGUUGAGAGAAAUUUUGUGGUGCCACUAUGUUCUUCCAGGUUUAAGCGCUUUGACUCUACUAAUUUUAGCCAGGUACUGCAUGUGCUUUCUGUGAUGGCAAGGAUAAAUUACUACGCAAUUUUGGCACUAUCCAGAUCAAAGAUUCAUGUCCUAAAAUAUUUUGCUCGGCUUCAUGCAAUUGAACUGUUAUCGCAUAUUUACGAGCCCCUAGGAAAGUCGGCAUUCAGGUCACCUACUAAAGCUCCUCCUCGCCACCGCGUGUGCACGUCGGCGUGGCCACCCUUCUGUCCAACUGUAGGAGUUAAUCUGUAUUGCGAGCGUGUUGCUCACAAAGUAUUGGGCUACCAGAAAGCAGAUUAGUUACAUCUGGACUCUGGAGUACAGUUUCGUGUCUUGCAUGGUUGAGAUAGUUGAUGAUGUACAAUCAGCCAUUGACCAUGUAAAUUGUUUAGAAGAUCUAUGGGUUAUUCUGUAGCCUGUCUCCCUGAUUCGAUUUCUAGGUCCCAAGUUGGUUAUUGUUGGUUUUUGCUCAUGCACAAGCACAACCCAUCAUAGGAAUCAGUAGGACCAUCUUGAUGGAUGUAAGGACCGCAACAGUUAAUGGAUUUGACCUUGCGACAAGUAGCGUUGCUAGAUUCUCAUGUUCCCACGCAAUACUCCAACAACUUAAUGUUAUGGAUUUCUCACACCAUACAUUCCUUCUCCAUCUCAGGGUUUAUUCAGGGGCAUGUACAAGACUCCUAUAUGCUGUUAGCUCCUCCCAAACAUAGUAAGGCUUUGUUUUUUUGGAUGAUACCCCCUCCACCAGAGGCUCAGCACAACAAGGACAUUUUCCAACAAGAAAUUAAUUUGAAUGAGGGUUGCUGGUGAAGGAUGGAGCGGGUGAUGAAUAGAUGAGGAAGCCGAUUUGUAAUGCUCAGAACGCAGAAGGAACAUCAGCUGAAGGAGCGGCUGUAGCUGGUGAUGGAAGAGAGGCACUUGCAUUUGCCCACCAGAAGUACAGAUCGGUAAAGUACAGAGAAACUUCAGAGCAUGGUAGCAUUGUUUAUGAGAAGAAUCCACGACGGACUGAUAAUCUAAUUCUUCUUGGAAUUAUCUACUGUCAGUUUAUGACUUGGUGCUCGCUGAAGCUUCUAUUUUCUACCAAAAGUGCUAUUAAACAAAAGAACUCUAGCGAUCCAGGAUUUUAUCCUAAGUUGCUAUUAAACUCACAAGAGGGAGCCUUUUAAUAACAAAGGAACUCUAACCAUGCUUUUUAUAUACUACGUAUAUGUAUGAUGUACUAGCAGUUCCUAUUUUUUAACUAUUGCAUAUCAGAAUAUUGAAUUGGCUAUGUCUGCAAAAAAAUAUGAUGUAUUAAAUUAUGUCAUGAAAGGGAUUUGUUCAUUUUCAAAACUAAGUUGGAUGAGCUUAAAGAACUUAUUCACCAGUACAGGUUAAAUAUGCUUUAAAAAAAUAGAUGUAUUUUUUUAGUGUACAUUAUCUUUUAUGUCUAAAGGAAUACUGGAUAUGCUUAUUUCUACUGCUAUAGUACAAGUUAACCCAUCCCAACUCCAUAGCAGUACUACAAACAGAACUGGAAUGAUUAUAUUUCUUUAUAGAUUUUACAAAUUCAGCAUGUUGAUCAUUUUUUGUGUGAUUUUCUUGAUAAAUCAACUAUUAGAGUAAACUUUCGUACUUAGCGACAACUUGAUUUAGCAUAAUAUGUUGGUUUCUGAACUUGGUAGAUGAAAUCACCCAGGAAAGCUACGUGUGUGCAAGCUAGCUAGACAAGCACACAAGCAAACUGUUGGAUUGAUGAACACAUAAUAUAGUACUCUGUGUAGCAAAAAGCUCUCUCUUUCUCUCAAGUACAGGCAGCCCACGAGCAGCGAGCAGAGCAAUAGCGAGCAGCCAACUAACAGCAAACAGAAGUAGCAGCAGUAAGCAGCGAAAGCGAGCAGCAACAAGCUCGUGGCCUAACCAUGUUGGCCUGGACCAAAAA